rnacentral:rRNA from 1 species
UACGACUCCUACGGGAGGCAGCAGUGGGGAAUAUUGCACAAUGGGGGAAACCCUGAUGCAGCGACGCCGCGUGGGCGACGAAGCGCUCCGGCGCGUAAAGCCCUGUCAGCAGGGAAGAACAAAGACAGUACCUGACCAAGAAGCCCCGGCUAACUACGUGCCAGCAGCCGCGGUAAUACGUAGGGGGCAAGCGUUAUCCGGAUUUACUGGGUGUAAAGGGAGUGUAGACGGCUGCGCAAGUCAGAAGUGAAAGCCCGGGGCUCAACCGCGGGACUGCUUUUGAAACUGUGUAGCUAGAGUGCAGGAGAGGUAAGUGGAAUUCCUAGUGUAGCGGUGAAAUGCGUAGAUAUUAGGAGGAACACCGGUGGCGAAGGCGGCUUACUGGACUGUAACUGACGUUGAGGCACGAAAGUGUGGGGAGCAAACAGGACUAGAUACCCCCGUAA